rnacentral:rRNA from 1 species
AGUGGAUGGGGAGCAACCUAGUUGUGCGUGUGUAAAGGUAGUGCCAAGAAAAGCGGUGAUCAUGAUGAAAAUCAAUUCCCGGUACCCGAAACCGACACAGGUGGGCAAGUAGAGAAUACUAAGGGGCGCGAGGUAACUCUCUCCAAGGAACUCGGCAAAAUGACCCCGUAACUUAGGGAGAAGGGGUGCCACCGAGAGGUGGUCGCAGUGAAGAGGCCCAGGCGACUGUUUAGCAAAAACAUAGGUCUCUGCAAACUCGAAAGAGGAGGUAUAGGGGCUGACGCCUGCCCAGUGCCGGAAGGUUAAAGAAGUUGGUCAGUCUUAGGAUAAAGCUAGCGACUGAAGCCCCGGUGAACGGCGGCCGUAACUAUAACGGUCCUAAGGUAGCGAAAUUCCUUGUCGGGUAAGUUCCGACCCGCACGAAAGGCGUAACGAUCUGGGCGCUGUCUCGGAGAGAGGCUCGGCGAAAUAGGAUUGUCUGUGAAGAUACGGACUACCUGCAUUUGGACAGAAAGACCCUAUGAAGCUUUACUAUAGCUUGGAAUUGUGUUCGGGCUUCCUGUGCGCAGGAUAGGUGGGAGGCGAAGAAGGUAUUCUUGUGGGGAUACUGGAGCCAACGGUGAGAUACCACUCUCAGGAGGCUAGAAUUCUAACUUAAUUAAGGACAGUUUUAGGUGGGUAGUUUGACUGGGGCGGUCGCCUCCAAAAAGGUAACGGAGGCGUACAAAGGUUCCCUCAGACUGGUUGGAAAUCAGUCGCAGAGUGCAAAGGCAGAAGGGAGCUUGACUGCGAGAAGUACAGUUCGAGCAGGGUGGAAACACGGUCUUAGUGAUCCGACGGUGCUGUGUGGAAGGGCCGUCGCUCAACGGAUAAAAGUUACUCUAGGAUAACAGGCUGAUCUCCCCCAAGAGUUCACAUCGACGGGGAGGUUUGGCACCUCGAUGUCGGCUCAUCGCAACCUGGGGCGGAAGUACGUCCCAAGGGUUGGGCUGUUCGCCCAUUAAAGCGGUACGUGAGCUGGGUUCAGAACGUCGUGAGACAGUUCGGUCCAUAUCCGAUGUAGGCGUGAGAAUAUUGAGAGGAGCCUUCCUUAGUACGAGAGGACCGGGAAGGACGCACCGCUGGUGUACCUGUUAUGAUGCCAAUUGUAAACGCAGGGUAGCCAAGUGCGGAGAGGAUAACCGCUGAAAGCAUCUAAGUGGGAAGCCCACCUCAAGAUGAGUAUUCUGGUGUGAGGUCACGGGAAGACGACCCGUAAAUAGGCACGAGGUGGAAGUGCAGAGAUGUAUGAAGCCGAAGUGUACUAAUAGACCGUCGGCUU